rnacentral:lncRNA from 1 species
UUGUGGUGGAAGUGGAACACAAGCACCUAUCUAUAUAUAGAAUUUCAAAUAUAUAGUGAGUUAGUUGGGGUCCAGCAACUGAUCACAUCGUCAUCAACUAAACAAACCAUGGAAGAGAAACUGAAUCCACAAGGAAGCUAUAGGAGGAAAAAUAAAGAGAAACAUAAAGGCUAUAGAGGCUGUUUGCACUCCUAUGGUUAAGAAACAGCUUUAAUACAAAAAUAAAACUGACUUCAUUUCUACUGCAACCGCCCCUCCCACUCAGAACCCUCUGUACCAAAGAGGUUCCCAGGAAUUGCCUUAACCACAACAAUGCACUGGAUUUUGAUGACAAAGAAAAAGAGAACUGCAGGAUAUCAAAAUAGAACUACAAUUUAAAUCAGUCUUAAGAAUCCAAUCAGGGGCAUGGACCAGAGACAUCUGCCUCAAUGCCAAUCCCAGCCCUCAUUCAGUUCCACUUGCAGGCUCAAUCACCAGUUCUCUCAGGCCAGGAUACUUUCUGCUUGGAAUGUCAUGCUCUUCUCAUGGGCCUCACUCCAGUUCCUUCUUGGGCUCCUGCUUCAGCUCCAUCUGGACAAGGAGCUUUGCUGGUCCCGCUACCAACCUCUGGUCUCCUUUGACUGAGCAACAGUUCCUUUUAUAGGAAGCAUUAGCCCCAUGCUGCUGUCAUAUGAGCCAGGCACGGAGCACAACUUGGACCCUAGCUCCUUUAGAAGCCCAGUUCACUCUGAGACAGUGGGAUAUCUGAAGAUCUUUGGGCCAUGAGGGGAAUUACUGUACCAGAACAGACAAAUGACUUACCCGCCCAAUAUUGUGUCUUUGACUGUGGCCAAAGCUGAAUGCUCCAGAGCAAGAACUGAAGCUUCCCAGUCAUUCACAUGAAUGUGUGUCAAUGUACCAUGCGAGAAGCUUCUGCCUGACUCAAGAUGUUGAUUAGUUUAUCUUCUAAAGCACAAAGAUCCUGUUCCGUUAUUUCUGCCACAACUUUCUAAAUGAUACAUUAGCUAAUAAAAUCAUAUGAAUUCAGAUGAGUCA